rnacentral:rRNA from 1 species
CCAAUAGCGUAUAUUAAAGUUGUUGCAGUUAAAAAGCUCGUAGUUGAAUUUCGGGGUUCUACCGUUGGUCGGGCUUUGUCUGUACUGGCGUGUAGAAUUUCUACCUUCUGGGGAACCAUCAUGUUAUUAAUUUAACGUGGUGGGAAACCAGGACCUUUACCUUGAAAAAAUUAGAGUGUUCAAAGCAGGCUUGUGUCUGAAUACAUUAGCAUGGAAUAAUAAAAUAGGACGGUGGUCCUGUUUUGUUGGUUUCUGAAUCACCGUAAUGAUUAAUAGGGAUAGUUGGGGGCAUUAGUAUUCAAUUGUCAGAGGUGAAAUUCUUGGAUUUAUUGAAGACUAACUUCUGCGAAAGCAUUUGCCAAGGAUGUUUUCAUUAAUCAAGAACGAAAGUUAGGGGAUCGAAGACGAUCAGAUACCGUCGUAGUCUUAACCAUAAACUAUGCCGACUAGGGAUCGGACGAUGUUAAUUUUUCUUGACUCGUUCGGCGCCUUACG